GAUGAACGCUGGCGGCGUGCCUAAUACAUGCAAGUCGAGCGAACGGACGAGAAGCUUGCUUCUCUGAUGUUAGCGGCGGACGGGUGAGUAACACGUGGAUAACCUACCUAUAAGACUGGGAUAACUUCGGGAAACCGGAGCUAAUACCGGAUAAUAUUUUGAACCGCAUGGUUCAAAAGUGAAAGACAGUCUUGCUGUCACUUAUAGAUGGAUCCGCGCUGCAUUAGCUAGUUGGUAAGGUAACGGCUUACCAAGGCAACGAUGCACAGCCGACCUGAGAGGGUGAUCGGCCACACUGGAACUGAGACACGGUCCAGACUCCUACGGGAGGCAGCAGUAGGGAAUCUUCCGCAAUGGGCGAAAGCCUGACGGAGCAACGCCGCGUGAGUGAUGAAGGUCUUCGGAUCGUAAAACUCUGUUAUUAGGGAAGAACAUAUGUGUAAGUAACUGUGCACAUCUUGACGGUACCUAAUCAGAAAGCCACGGCUAACUACGUG
rnacentral:rRNA from 1 species